UGAGGAAUAUUGGUCAAUGGACGCAAGUCUGAACCAGCCAAGUAGCGUGCAGGAUGACGGCCCUAUGGGUUGUAAACUGCUUUUAUAUGGGGAUAAAGUGGGGAACGUGUUCCCUUUUGCAGGUACCACAUGAAUAAGGACCGGCUAAUUCCGUGCCAGCAGCCGCGGUAAUACGGAAGGUCCGGGCGUUAUCCGGAUUUAUUGGGUUUAAAGGGAGCGUAGGCUGUCUAUUAAGCGUGUUGUGAAAUAUACCGGCUCAACCGGUGGCUUGCAGCGCGAACUGGUCGACUUGAGUAUGCAGGAAGUAGGCGGAAUUCAUGGUGUAGCGGUGAAAUGCUUAGAUAUCAUGACGAACUCCGAUUGCGCAGGCAGCUUACUGUAGCAUAACUGACGCUGAUGCUCGAAAGUGCGGGUAUCAAACAGG
rnacentral:rRNA from 1 species